GGAGAGGUGACAGAGUGGACGAUUGUACUCGCUUGGAAAGCGAGCGUACCUAACGGUACCGGGAGUUCGAAUCUCCCCUUCUCCGCCA
rnacentral:tRNA from 1 species